AGGUUAAGUUAAAAAGGGCGCAUGGUGGAUGCCUUGGCACUAGAAGCCGAUGAAGGACGGGACUAACACCGAUAUGCUUCGGGGAGCUGUACGUAAGCUUUGAUCCGGAGAUUUCCGAAUGGGGAAACCCAGCAGUUUUAAUCGACUGUUACUAUAUAGUGAAUUCAUAGCUGUAUAGAGGUAGACGUGGGGAACUGAAACAUCUCAGUACCCACAGGAGCAGAAAGAAAUUUUCGAUUCCCUCAGUAGCGGCGAGCGAACGGGGAACAGCCCAAACCAAUGAGCUUGCUCAUUGGGGUUGUAGGACUGAACAUUUGAGUUACCAAAGUUGUUGAUAAUCGAACAAUCUGGGAAGGUUGGCGAAACAGGGUGAUAGCCCCGUAGGUGAAAUCAAUGACCCUCAGUUCAGGAUCCUGAGUACGGCGACACACGUGAAACGUCGUCGGAAUCCGGGAGGACCAUCUCCCAAGGCUAAAUACUCUCUAGUGACCGAUAGUGAACCAGUACCGUGAGGGAAAGGUGAAAAGCACCCCGGAAGGGGAGUGAAAUAGUUCCUGAAACCAUGUGCCUACAAGCAGUUAGAGCCCGUUAAUGGGUGAUAGCGUGCCUCUUGUAGAAUGAACCGGCGAGUUACGGUAACAUGCCAGGUUAAGGUUUAAAAGCCGGAGCCGCAGCGAAAGCGAGUCUGAAAUGGGCGUUUUAGUAUGUUGCUGUAGACCCGAAACCAGGUGAUCUACCCAUGUCCAGGGUGAAGGUGCGGUAAAACGCACUGGAGGCCCGAACCCGUGUACGUUGAAAAGUGCUGGGAUGAGGUGUGGGUAGCGGUGAAAUUCCAAACGAACUUGGAGAUAGCUGGUUCUCUCCGAAAUAGCUUUAGGGCUAGCCUCGGACGUAGAAUCAUGGAGGUAGAGCCACUGUUUGGAUGAGGGGCCCGUCAUGGGUUACUAAGUUCAGAUAAACUCCGAAUACCAUUGAUUUUUAUCCGGGAGUCAGACGGUGAGUGAUAAGAUCCAUCGUCAAAAGGGGAACAGCCCAGACCACCAGUUAAGGUCCCUAAAUAUAUGCUAAGUGGAAAAGGAUGUGGAGUUGCAUAGACAACUAGGAUGUUGGCUCAGAAGCAGCCA
rnacentral:rRNA from 1 species